rnacentral:lncRNA from 1 species
CAACCUAAUAAUCUGCAUUUGCCUGGCGAGGAGAGGGGCGCGUGGUCCGGGUCUUCAUCUGGCCGUGCUGGCACCCGCGGCCUGGCCCGCAUUCGCUUCCGGUCUUCAGUCUGUGCUCCAUCAAGGGUGUUCUUUCAAGGUCACACUUUCCUUUCUUCCAACCCUGAGGCUCUUCAGGCCUGGCUUGCUGUCAGCGGACUGUGGUGGCCUUGAAAAGGAAACGUUAUUCUGCUGCUCCUGCGCCACAUUGGAGACAUUAAGAGCAGGAAAAGCUGAACGGGGCUCUCUAGGGACCUUCACUCCAGCAGGCUGCCUUCAUUUUGCGGACUAUGGACACAAGCAAAUCCCUCAGGUACCAGGGAUCUGUUCUCCGUCUCCCUCAUUGCACUUGGAUCAACCCUGCAAGGCUGCCUCUGCCCUGUGUGCUGAAACACCGCCCGGCCGUUUCUUCCCCUGCAUCUGUGCCUCCCUGGGCUGCGCAGAAUACAGGCCCCUCCUUCCCAGGGAUCCACACGAGCCUCACAUUCUUUGCUUUCUCUCUAACUUUCUUCCUUUCUCUCCAGGUUUGGGAAAACUUCAUAUAAUCUUUGUAAGAGUAGCUGAGCAGGA